AACGAACGCUGGCGGCAGGCUUAACACAUGCAAGUCGAGCGCCCCGCAAGGGGAGCGGCAGACGGGUGAGUAACACGUGGGGAUCUGCCCAAUGGUACGGAAUAGCUCCGGGAGACUGGAAAGAAUACCGGAUGUGCCCGCAAGGGGAAAGAUUUAUCGCCAUUGGAUGAACCCGCGUCGGAUUAGCAAGUUGGUGAGGUAAAGGCGCACAAAGGCGACGAUCCGUAGCUGGGCUGAGAGGAUGAGCAGCCACACUGGGACUGAGACACGGCCCAGACUCCUACGGGAGGCAGCAGUGGGGAAUAUUGGACAAUGGGCGCAAGCCUGAUCCAGCCAUGCCGCGUGAGUGAUGAAGGCCUUAGGGUUGUAAAGCUCUUUCGCCGACGAAGAUAAUGGCGGUAGUCGGAGAAGAAGCCCCGGCUAACUUCGUGCCAGCAGCCGCGGUAACAC
rnacentral:rRNA from 1 species